GGGUUGUGAGGUUAAGCGACUAAGCGUACACGGUGGAUGCCCUGGCAGUCAGAGGCGAUGAAGGACGUGCUAAUCUGCGAAAAGCGCCGGCGAGGUGAUAUGAACCUUUGACCCGGCGAUGUCCGAAUGGGGAAACCCAGUGUGAUUCGUCACACUAUCGUUAACUGAAUACAUAGGUUAACGAGGCGAACCGGGGGAACUGAAACAUCUAAGUACCCCGAGGAAAAGAAAUCAACCGAGAUUCCCCCAGUAGCGGCGAGCGAACGGGGAGCAGCCCAGAGUCUGAAUCAGCUUGUGUGUUAGUGGAAGCGUCUGGAAAGUCGCACGGUACAGGGUGACAGUCCCGUACACGAAAAUGCACAGGUUGUGAACUCGAAGAGUAGGGCGGGACACGUGGUAUCCUGUCUGAAUAUGGGGGGACCAUCCUCCAAGGCUAAAUACUCCUGACUGACCGAUAGUGAACCAGUACCGUGAGGGAAAGGCGAAAAGAACCCCGGCGAGGGGAGUGAAAAAGAACCUGAAACCGUGUACGUACAAGCAGUGGGAGCACCUUCGUGGUGUGACUGCGUACCUUUUGUAUAAUGGGUCAGCGACUUAUAUUCUGUAGCAAGGUUAACCGUAUAGGGGAGCCGAAGGGAAACCGAGUCUUAACUGGGCGUUAAGUUGCAGGGUAUAGACCCGAAACCCGGUGAUCUAGCCAUGGGCAGGUUGAAGGUUGGGUAACACUAACUGGAGGACCGAACCGACUAAUGUUGAAAAAUUAGCGGAUGACUUGUGGCUGGGGGUGAAAGGCCAAUCAAACCGGGAGAUAGCUGGUUCUCCCCGAAAGCUAUUUAGGUAGCGCCUCGUGAACUCAUCUUCGGGGGUAGAGCACUGUUUCGGCUAGGGGGCCAUCCCGGCUUACCAACCCGAUGCAAACUACGAAUACCGAAGAAUGUUAUCACGGGAGACACACGGCGGGUGCUAACGUCCGUCGUGAAGAGGGAAACAACCCAGACCGCCAGCUAAGGUCCCAAAGUCAUGGUUAAGUGGGAAACGAUGUGGGAAGGCACAGACAGCCAGGAUGUUGGCUUAGAAGCAGCCAUCAUUUAAAGAAAGCGUAAUAGCUCACUGGUCGAGUCGGCCUGCGCGGAAGAUGUAACGGGGCUAAACCAUGCACCGAAGCUGCGGCAGCGACACUAUGUGUUGUUGGGUAGGGGAGCGUUCUGUAAGCCGUUGAAGGUGGCCUGUGAGGGUUGCUGGAGGUAUCAGAAGUGCGAAUGCUGACAUAAGUAACGAUAAAGCGGGUGAAAAGCCCGCUCGCCGGAAGACCAAGGGUUCCUGUCCAACGUUAAUCGGGGCAGGGUGAGUCGACCCCUAAGGCGAGGCCGAAAGGCGUAGUCGAUGGGAAACAGGUUAAUAUUCCUGUACUUGGUGUUACUGCGAAGGGGGGACGGAGAAGGCUAUGUUAGCCGGGCGACGGUUGUCCCGGUUUAAGCAUGUAGGCGGAACGAUUAGGUAAAUCCGGUCGUUUAUUAACGCUGAGGUGUGAUGACGAGGCACUACGGUGCUGAAGUAACAAAUGCCCUGCUUCCAGGAAAAGCCUCUAAGCAUCAGGUAACAUCAAAUCGUACCCCAAACCGACACAGGUGGUCAGGUAGAGAAUACCAAGGCGCUUGAGAGAACUCGGGUGAAGGAACUAGGCAAAAUGGUGCCGUAACUUCGGGAGAAGGCACGCUGAUAUGUAGGUGAAGCCCCUGCGGGUGGAGCUGAAAUCAGUCGAAGAUACCAGCUGGCUGCAACUGUUUAUUAAAAACACAGCACUGUGCAAACACGAAAGUGGACGUAUACGGUGUGACGCCUGCCCGGUGCCGGAAGGUUAAUUGAUGGGGUUAGCGGUAACGCGAAGCUCUUGAUCGAAGCCCCGGUAAACGGCGGCCGUAACUAUAACGGUCCUAAGGUAGCGAAAUUCCUUGUCGGGUAAGUUCCGACCUGCACGAAUGGCGUAAUGAUGGCCAGGCUGUCUCCACCCGAGACUCAGUGAAAUUGAACUCGCUGUGAAGAUGCAGUGUACCCGCGGCAAGACGGAAAGACCCCGUGAACCUUUACUAUAGCUUGACACUGAACACUGGUCCUUGAUGUGUAGGAUAGGUGGGAGGCUUUGAAGUGUGGACGCCAGUCUGCAUGGAGCCGUCCUUGAAAUACCACCCUUUAAUGGCUGGUGUUCUAACGUAGACCCGUAAUCCGGGUUGCGGACAGUGUCUGGUGGGUAGUUUGACUGGGGCGGUCUCCUCCCAAAGAGUAACGGAGGAGCACGAAGGUUAGCUAAUCCUGGUCGGACAUCAGGAGGUUAGUGCAAUGGCAUAAGCUAGCUUGACUGCGAGAGUGACGGCUCGAGCAGGUGCGAAAGCAGGUCAUAGUGAUCCGGUGGUUCUGAAUGGAAGGGCCAUCGCUCAACGGAUAAAAGGUACUCCGGGGAUAACAGGCUGAUACCGCCCAAGAGUUCAUAUCGACGGCGGUGUUUGGCACCUCGAUGUCGGCUCAUCACAUCCUGGGGCUGAAGUAGGUCCCAAGGGUAUGGCUGUUCGCCAUUUAAAGUGGUACGCGAGCUGGGUUUAGAACGUCGUGAGACAGUUCGGUCCCUAUCUGCCGUGGGCGCUGGAGAAUUGAGGGGGGCUGCUCCUAGUACGAGAGGACCGGAGUGGACGCAUCACUGGUGUUCGGGUUGUCAUGCCAAUGGCACUGCCCGGUAGCUAAAUGCGGAAAAGAUAAGUGCUGAAAGCAUCUAAGCACGAAACUUGCCCCGAGAUGAGUUCUCCCUGAGACUUUAAGUCUCCUGAAGGAACGUUGAAGACGACGACGUUGAUAGGUCGGGUGUGUAAGCGCAGCGAUGCGUUGAGCUAACCGAUACUAAUGAACCGUGAGGCUUAACCUUACAACGCCGAAG
rnacentral:rRNA from 1 species